UNGGAGAGGAAAGUGGAAUUCNUAGUGUAGCGGUGAAAUGCGUAGAUAUUAGGAAAAACACCAGUGGCGAAGGCGACUUUCUGGACGAAAACUGACGCUGAGGCGCGAAAGCCNGGGGAGCGAACGGGAUUAGAUACCCCGGUANUCCUGGCCGUAAACGAUGGGUACUAGGUGUAGGAGGUAUCGACCCCUUCUGUGCCGGAGUUAACGCAAUAAGUACCCCGCCUGGGGAGUACGACCGCAAGGUUGAAACUCAAAGGAAUUGACGGGGGCCCGCACAAGCGGUGGAGUAUGUGGUUUAAUUCGACGCAACGCGAAGAACCUUACCAGGUCUUGACAUUGAUGGACAGAACCAGAGAUGGUUCCUCUUCUUCGGAAGCCAGAAAACAGGUGGUGCACGGUUGUCGUCAGCUCGUGUCGUGAGAUGUUGGGUUAAGUCCCGCAACGAGCGCAACCCCUAUCUUAUGUUGCCAGCACGUAAAGGUGGGAACUCAUGAGAGACUGCCGCAGACAAUGCGGAGGAAGGCGGGGAUGACGUCAAAUCAUCAUGCCCCUUAUGACCUGGGCUACACACGUACUACAAUGGGAGUUAAUAGACGGAAGCGAGAUCGCGAGAUGGAGCAAACCCGAGAAACACUCUCUCAGUUCGGAUCGUAGGCUGCAACUCGCCUACGUGAAGUCGGAAUCGCUAGUAAUCGCGGGUCAGCAUACUGCGGUGAAUACGUUCCCGGGCCUUGUACACACCGCCCGUCACACCACGAAAGUCGGAAGUGCCCAAAGCCGGUGGGGUANCCUUCGGGA
rnacentral:rRNA from 1 species